rnacentral:SRP_RNA from 15 species
CAGAGCUGGCAGCAGAGCAGGGCGCAGCAGAGGCUGCAGGAGAGGGCCAGGACCGCGGCGCUGAC